AUUGGGUGUGGUGAUGCACACCUGUAGCCCCAGCUAUUUGGGAAGACCAGGCAGGAGGAUCACUUGAGCCCAAGAGUUCGAGAUCAGCCUGGGCAAUGCAAUGAGUGAUACCUAGUU
rnacentral:sRNA from 1 species